GAUGAACGCUGGCGGCGUGCCUAACACAUGCAAGUCGAACGGAGUCCAGCCUUUAAGACCUUCGGGUCAAAGAGGGGAAGACUGAGUGGCGGACGGGUGAGUAACACGUGGGCAACCUGGCUCAUAGAGGGGGAUAACAGAGAGAAAUUUCUGCUAAUACCGCAUAAGCACACCCUGCCGCAUGGCAGAGGGUGAAAAGAGAAUCGCUAUGAGAUGGACCCGCGUCUGAUUAGCCAGUUGGCAGGGUAAGAGCCUACCAAAGCGACGAUCAGUAGCCGAUCUGAGAGGAUGAACGGCCACAUUGGGACUGAGACACGGCCCAAACUCCUACGGGAGGCAGCAGUGGGGGAUAUUGCACAAUGGGGGGAACCCUGAUGCAGCGACGCCGCGUAAGUGAAGAAGUAUUUCGGUAUGUAAAGCUCUAUCAGCAGGGAAGAUAAUGACAGUACCUGAAUAAGAAGCCCCGGCUAACUACGUG
rnacentral:rRNA from 1 species